rnacentral:rRNA from 1 species
UACGUAGGGUGCAAGCGUUGUCCGGAAUUAUUGGGCGUAAAGAGCUCGUAGGCGGUCUGUCGCGUCGGCUGUGAAAUCCCGGAGCUCAACUCCGGGUCUGCAGUCGAUACGGGCAAACUGGAGUACUGCAGGGGAGACUGGAAUUCCUGGUGUAGCGGUGAAAUGCGCAGAUAUCAGGAGGAACACCGGUGGCGAAGGCGGCGU